UCGGAUAUGGUGUAAAGGCUAACAUUACCGCCUCUCAAAGGACCUAUCCUGUCCGCGGUAGCUCGGGGUUCGAUUCCCCGUAUCCGAA